GACGAACGCUGGCGGCGUGCCUAAUACAUGCAAGUCGAACGAACUCUGGUAUUGAUUGGUGCUUGCAUCAUGAUUUAUAUUUGAGUGAGUGGCGAACUGGUGAGUAACACGUGGGAAACCUGCCCAGAAGCGGGGGAUAACACCUGGAAACAGAUGCUAAUACCGCAUAACAACUUGGACCGCAUGGUCCGAGUUUGAAAGAUGGCUUCGGCUAUCACUUUUGGAUGGUCCCGCGGCGUAUUAGCUAGAUGGUGAGGUAACGGCUCACCAUGGCAAUGAUACGUAGCCGACCUGAGAGGGUAAUCGGCCACAUUGGGACUGAGACACGGCCCAAACUCCUACGGGAGGCAGCAGUAGGGAAUCUUCCACAAUGGACGAAAGUCUGAUGGAGCAACGCCGCGUGAGUGAAGAAGGGUUUCGGCUCGUAAAACUCUGUUGUUAAAGAAGAACAUAUCUGAGAGUAACUGUUCAGGUAUUGACGGUAUUUAACCAGAAAGCCACGGCUAACUACGUGCCAGCAGCCGCGGUAAUACGUAGGUGGCAAGCGUUGUCCGGAUUUAUUGGGCGUAAAGCGAGCGCAGGCGGUUUUUUAAGUCUGAUGUGAAAGCCUUCGGCUCAACCGAAGAAGUGCAUCGGAAACUGGGAAACUUGAGUGCAGAAGAGGACAGUGGAACUCCAUGUGUAGCGGUGAAAUGCGUAGAUAUAUGGAAGAACACCAGUGGCGAAGGCGGCUGUCUGGUCUGUAACUGACGCUGAGGCUCGAAAGUAUGGGUAGCAAACAGGAUUAGAUACCCUGGUAGUCCAUACCGUAAACGAUGAAUGCUAAGUGUUGGAGGGUUUCCGCCCUUCAGUGCUGCAGCUAACGCAUUAAGCAUUCCGCCUGGGGAGUACGGCCGCAAGGCUGAAACUCAAAGGAAUUGACGGGGGCCCGCACAAGCGGUGGAGCAUGUGGUUUAAUUCGAAGCUACGCGAAGAACCUUACCAGGUCUUGACAUACUAUGCAAAUCUAAGAGAUUAGACGUUCCCUUCGGGGACAUGGAUACAGGUGGUGCAUGGUUGUCGUCAGCUCGUGUCGUGAGAUGUUGGGUUAAGUCCCGCAACGAGCGCAACCCUUAUUAUCAGUUGCCAGCAUUAAGUUGGGCACUCUGGUGAGACUGCCGGUGACAAACCGGAGGAAGGUGGGGAUGACGUCAAAUCAUCAUGCCCCUUAUGACCUGGGCUACACACGUGCUACAAUGGAUGGUACAACGAGUUGCGAACUCGCGAGAGUAAGCUAAUCUCUUAAAGCCAUUCUCAGUUCGGAUUGUAGGCUGCAACUCGCCUACAUGAAGUCGGAAUCGCUAGUAAUCGCGGAUCAGCAUGCCGCGGUGAAUACGUUCUCGGGCCUUGUGCACACCGCCCGUCACACCAUGAGAGUUUGUAACACCCAAAGUCGGUGGGGUAACCUUUUAGGAACCAGCCGCCUAAGGUGGGACAGAUGAUUAGGGUG
rnacentral:rRNA from 1 species